AGUCGAGCGCUCACUUCGGUGAGAGCGGCAGACGGGUGAGUAACGCGUGGGAAUCUACCCAUCUCUACGGAACAACAGUUGGAAACGACUGCUAAUACCGUAUACGCCCUUCGGGGGAAAGAUUUAUCGGAGAUGGAUGAGCCCGCGUUGGAUUAGCUAGUUGGUGGGGUAAAGGCCUACCAAGGCGACGAUCCAUAGCUGGUCUGAGAGGAUGAUCAGCCACACUGGGACUGAGACACGGCCCAGACUCCUACGGGAGGCAGCAGUGGGGAAUAUUGGACAAUGGGCGCAAGCCUGAUCCAGCCAUGCCGCGUGUGUGAUGAAGGCCCUAGGGUUGUAAAGCACUUUCAACGGUGAAGAUAAUGACGGUAACCGUAGAAGAAGCCCCGGCUAACUUCGUGCCAGCAGCCGCGGUAAUACGAAGGGGGCUAGCGUUGUUCGGAAUUACUGGGCGUAAAGCGCACGUAGGCGGAUCGUUAAGUGAGGGGUGAAAUCCCAGGGCUCAACCCUGGAACUGCCUUUCAUACUGGCGAUCUUGAGUUCGAGAGAGGUGAGUGGAAUUCCGAGUGUAGAGGUGAAAUUCGUAGAUAUUCGGAGGAACACCAGUGGCGAAAGCGGCUCACUGGCUCGAUACUGACGCUGAAGUGCGAAAGCGUGGGGAGCAAACAGGAUUAAAUACCCUGGUAGUCCACGCCGUAAACGAUGUCUACUAGCCGUUGGGUUGUAAUGACUUAUUGGCGAAACUAACGCGAUUAGUAAAACGCCUGGGGAGUACCGCCCCCAGGUUAAACUCCAAUGAAUUGACCGGGGCCCGCACAAACGGUGG
rnacentral:rRNA from 1 species